rnacentral:rRNA from 1 species
AACGAACGCUGGCGGCAUGCCUAACACAUGCAAGUCGAACGAGACCUUCGGGUCUAGUGGCGCACGGGUGCGUAACGCGUGGGAACCUGCCCUUAGGUUCGGAAUAACUCCCCGAAAGGGGUGCUAAUACCGGAUAAUGUCUUCGGACCAAAGAUUUAUCGCCUUUGGAUGGGCCCGCGUUGGAUUAGCUAGUUGGUAGGGUAAAAGCCUACCAAGGCGACGAUCCAUAGCUGGUCUGAGAGGAUGAUCAGCCACACUGGGACUGAGACACGGCCCAGACUCCUACGGGAGGCAGCAGAGGGGAAUAUUGGAAAAUGGGCGAAAGCCUGAUCCAGCAAUGCCGCGUGAGUGAUGAAGGCCUUAGGGAUGUAAAGCUCUUUUACCCGGGAUGAUAAUGACAGUACCGGGAGAAUAAGCUCCGGCUAACUCCGUG